rnacentral:piRNA from 1 species
UGAAGGUUACACUGUGGACGUGU